GUACAUUCCAAAUAAUUUUUGACACUUCCCGCAGCGAAGCAAGCAAAGCGAGCAUGCAUUGGGCCAGUACCUUAAGACUUUGAGUUUUUUAUCCAGC